AUUCCAGCUCCAAUAGCGUAUAUUAAAGUUGUUGCAGUUAAAAAGCUCGUAGUUGGAUUUGUGGCGUGUGUGAUGGCGUCCAUUCAUUUGGUACUGCCGUGACACAGCCAUCCUUGGGUGGAUUCUGUGUGGCAUUAGGUUGUCGUGCAGGGGAUGCCCAUCGUUUACUGUGAAAAAAUUAGAGUGUUCAAAGCAGGCUUAUGCCGUUGAAUAUAUUAGCAUGGAAUAAUAAGAUAGGUCUUUGGUCCUAUUUUGUUGGUUUGCGGGCCGAAGAAAUGAUUAACAGGGACAGUUGGGGGUAUUCGUAUUCCAUUGUCAGAGGUGAAAUUCUUGGAUUUCUGGAAGACGAACUACUGCGAAAGCAUUUACCAAGGAUGUUUUC
rnacentral:rRNA from 1 species